AUUGAACGCUGGCGGCAGGCCUAACACAUGCAAGUCGAACGAGUGGCGGACGGGUGAGGAAUGUCUGGGAAACUGCCCGAUGGAGGGGGAUAACUACUGGAAACGGUAGCUAAUACCGCAUACCAUCGGAUGUGCCCAGAUGGGAUUAGCUAGUAGGUGGGGUAAUGGCUCACCUAGGCGACGAUCCCUAGCUGGGCUGAGAGGAUGACAGUCCACACUGGACCUGAGCCACGGUCCAGUCUCCGACGGGAGGCAGCAGUGGGGAAUAUUGCACAAUGGGCGCAAGCCUGAUGCAGCCAUGCCGCGUGUAUUAAGAAGGCCUUCGGGUUGUAAAGUACUUUCAGCGAGGAGGCGUUACUCGCAGAAGAAGCACCGGCUAACUCCGUGCCAGCCGCCGCGGUAAUUC
rnacentral:rRNA from 1 species